rnacentral:rRNA from 1 species
GGCCAGACUCCUACGGGAGGCAGCAGUGGGGGAUAUUGCACAAUGGGGGGAACCCUGAUGCAGCGACGCCGCGUGGGUGAAGGAGUGCUUCGGCAUGUAAAGCCCUAUCGGCAGGGAAGAAGCAAGACGGUACCUGACUAAGAAGCCCCGACUAACUACGUGCCAGCAGCCGCGGUAAUACGUAGGGGGCGAGCGUUAUCCGGAUUCACUGGGUGUAAAGGGAGCGUAGACGGCCAAGCAAGCCAGGGGUGAAAGCCCGGGGCCCAACCCCGUCGAGCCGUUGAAACUGGCAGACUUGAGUUGGCGAGAAGUACGCGGAAUGCGCGGUGUAGCGGUGAAAUGCAUAGAUAUCGCGCAGAACUCCGAUUGCGAAGGCAGCAUGCCGGCUCCACACUGACGCUGAGGCACGAAAGCGUGGGUAUCGAACAGGAUUAGAUACCCGAGUA